rnacentral:miRNA from 1 species
CAAUAGACAUUUAUUUUCUCACAGUUCUGGAGGCCAGAAGUUCAUGAUCAAGGUGCUGGCAAAUUCAGUUUCUGGUGAGGGCUCUCUUCCUGGCUUGUAGAUAGGCACCUUCUCAGUGUGGCUUCACCUGGCCUUU